CUGAUGUCUUGUGGUCUCAGCGUGGAGCUGCAGCAGUGAGCAGGAAACAGCUGCAGCUCUCUGACUCUGUGUGUUUGCAUACAUGUGUCCUCCUCUCUGCUUCCAGCCAUAAGAGGCUGCUGUCCAUCAGUGGCUGUCCAGGCCUUUCACACACACAUGAUGAUGUCACUGACUCUGCUGCUGGCCACCCUGGGGCUCCUUGUUCAGGCCUCAUCAGGAGAAAUCCUCCUGACUCAGUCUCCUGGAUCUCAGUCUGCUGUUCCAGGACAGACUGUCUCCAUGACAUGUAAAGCCAGUUCACGUGUCUAUAAAGACCUCCAGUGGUACCUUCAGAAACCUGGAGAAGCUCCUAAACUCCUGAUUUAUGAUGAUUCAACCCGUCAAUCUGGAGUUUCAGAUCGUUUCAGUGGAAGUGGAUCUAAUACUGACUUCACUCUGACCAUCAGUGGAGUUCAGGCUGAAGAUUCAGGAGUUUACUACUGUCAGCAGGAUGAGGAGUUCCCGUACACGUUCGGUGGAGGAAGCAGACUGGAUGUUGGAAGUGAUGCCCGUCCCACCCUGACGGUGCUGCCCCCCUCCAGGGAGCAGCUGCAGCAGGGGACGGCCACGCUCAUGUGCCUGGCCAACAAGGGCUUCCCCUCAGACUGGAGUCUGUCCUGGAAGGUGGACGGCAGCAGCAGCAGCAGCAGCUGGGAGCAGAGCAGCAGCCCCGGGGUGCUGGAGAAGGACGGCCACUACAGCUGGAGCAGCACCCUGAGGCUCUCUGCAGACCAGUGGAGGAAGGUGGGCUCUGUGACCUGUGAGGCCACCCAGGGCUCCCAGACUCCGCUCUCAGAGACUCUGAGGAGAGACCAGUGUUCCCAGUCCUGAUCUGACUCACUGCUUUUACUCUGCUACUGCUCUCAGUCUGCUCUCUUUCUCUGGUUCUCUCAUGAUUUUUCAACAUUAACUUGUUCUUGCUUGUGUUGAUAGUUUUAACAUUUUCAAACAAUAAAGAAUUCCAUCAUAUAUUAUAAAAGUGACCGGUCUUAUGAAUUCCUUUCUUUCACAUGUGUUAUAUAAUAAGAGCAUGAAUCAGAUUAAUGUGCCAAAGUGACAAUGAUAAGAAGUACAUGUUUUCCAGAUCCAUUUUUAAUAGUUUUAAGACUUCAGACAUGGUGCAGCCAUUUCAAUGGUAAAUCACAAAGCUAUCAGAUUUAACUAAUUUAAACGUUUGAAGAAUAUAAGUUAAUUUGUCAUUAAAUUUGUAUUUUUACCCAAGAUAAUUAAUCAUUCAUUUGUAAUCCUAUGUUCCCAAUAUAAAUGGUGCCCCGUUUAGAGGUAUCCAUACAAAUAUUUUGGGAAAUCCUAAAAUCCCAACAUAUUGGUGCCCCGUGUGAGGCAAUGUACAGUUGGCAAUCGUUCUUCACUCUGUAACUCUCUCUUUCUCAGUCUCCGCUCUCAGAGACUCUGAGGAGAGACCAGUGUUCCCAGUCCUGAUCUGACUCACUGGGACUCUGUCUCUGUCUCUGGCUUUAGUUCACAACAUUUACCAGCUUAUUGUAAUGUUUCACCAUUUCAGUGUCUGCU